CACAACAGGAGGUGAGCAGUGGGCUAAUGAGCAAACCUGCAUCGGUAUUUAUAGCCACUUCCCUCAUUCACGUUACUGCCUGAGCUCUGCCUCCUGUCAGAUCAGCAGCAUUAGAUUCUCAUAGGAGCUCAAACCCUACGACCUACUAUGAACUGUGCAUGCAAAGAAUCUAGGCUGCAUGCUCCUUACGAAAAUCUAAUGCCUGAUUGUCUGGUUCUGCAUUAUGCGCGGGCACGCCAGGCGCAGUCAGGCCCUGUUAUGGAAGCGCAGAAGAGCUGGCCUGCUCUGACUGUGGAGAGGGAACUGCCAAGGGGAGCACGGGAGCGGGCAGUGAUACGAGACCCUGUCCUCUGAGUCAGCCCUGAUGCCAGGCGGGUGAGGUAAGCCUCCGUCGGGGGCACCCUUCACCUGCUGGCUCCUGGCCUCUCUCUGGCGGCCAUCAGUUCCCUGCAGGCUGGCUAGGGUGUGAGAAACAACACAGGUCUGCUUCCUGCGGCUCCUGGCUAGAAAGUAGCGGCCUGGAUUCCAUACGUCAAUAAGAAGACAGACAGCGAGCUGGUGCUGCCCUGGAACAAGUGUUCCCAAGCUGACUGUCUGGGACCAUUCUAGCCAUCACUUUGGACUCCAGGACCCUGGACCCUGUCUUCUGGAUCCAGGAUUCAGCUGCCCCUUCUGAGAUGCCCAUGAGCCCAAAUGACACGCCGCUCCUCUGCUGUCACUACCCCACCAGCACAAGUGACAGUUUCCAAGUGGAGGAAAAAUAAGGCUUCAUUUUCCUCUGAAUCUAAGAAGUCAAGCUCCCAUGAACCAGGGCAAGCUACCCUAGGCACCACUCUCUUUAGCUUACAAUCAGAAGGAAUGUGCCAGGGCUAAAGAGUUUUGAAAGAUAGACCACAGAAAGAGGCUCAUUCACUGCCCUCCGGGUGUCCACACAUGGACUGGAGGUGCUGGGACCCAUCAGUAAAGGAGGUUAUGGAAGCCCUUAUGUGCAUGACCUGGGGGAAAAAAAAAGGAUAUGAUGGCCCAGAAGGAAGUUGCUGGGGAGGGAAAAUUUGUGAUUCUUUGCACCAUGAAAAUAGACCAGUGCUUGUCUGUUAUGUCUGCUUGGAACACACAGCAUCUACAGGUACAUCCUUGGACACAGCAGGUCUUCUCACCCAACUCUGGUGACUGGAAAACAGCAGGCUUCCAAUCCCUCUGACCAGUCAAGAGGUUGGAAUUAGGGUUAGAUGAACCUGACUGGUGAGCAUCCCAGGCCAGGCAUGCAUCCUCCGGGACCCAGAGACUAACCUGGACCCACAGGUCUGAGAACCUGGGCGAGCACUGGCUGGCCAGCUGCAUGCUCUCACACAUGGGGCCCAUCCAAUUCACAGAUCAAAAGUCCAGUUGAGGGGGGAGAGGACAAGCGGCCCCUUGGGGCCAGGAGAAGGCUCAGAAAGAUCCCUACUGGGGAGGGGCCUCUCCGGCUCCCAUCUGAGCACCAGCACCCAGGUCUGGCCCGGGGCCUGGCCCUCCUGGCGCCCUCAGACGUGGCUCC